rnacentral:rRNA from 1 species
ACGGGUGAGUAACACGUGGGUAACCUGCCCUGUACUCUGGGAUAAGCCUUGGAAACGAGGUCUAAUACCGGAUACGACCACUUGACGCAUGUCUUGUGGUGGAAAGUUCCGGCGGUAUGGGAUGGACCCGCGGCCUAUCAGCUUGUUGGUGGGGUAAUGGCCUACCAAGGCGACGACGGGUAGCCGGCCUGAGAGGGUGACCGGCCACACUGGGACUGAGACACGGCCCAGACUCCUACGGGAGGCAGCAGUGGGGAAUAUUGCACAAUGGGCGAAAGCCUGAUGCAGCGACGCCGCGUGAGGGAUGACGGCCUUCGGGUUGUAAACCUCUUUCAGCAGGGACGAAGCGCAAGUGACGGUACCUGCAGAAGAAGCACCGGCUAACUACGUGCCAGCAGCCGCGGUAAUACGUAGGGUGCGAGCGUUGUCCGGAAUUAUUGGGCGUAAAGAGCUCGUAGGCGGUUUGUCGCGUCGGCCGUGAAAACUUGGGGCUUAACUCCAAGCUUGCGGUCGAUACGGGCAGACUUGAGUUCGGCAGGGGAGACUGGAAUUCCUGGUGUAGCGGUGAAAUGCGCAGA